rnacentral:rRNA from 1 species
GCAAGUCGAGGGGUAACAGAGGUAUCUUGCUACUUGCUGACGACCGGCGCACGGGUGCGUAACGCGUAUAGAAUCUGCCUCAUACUGAGGGAUAGCCUUUGGAAACGAAGAUUAAUACCUCAUAGUAUCAUUUAACGGCAUCGUUUAGUGAUUAAAGGUUACGGUAUGAGAGGAGUAUGCGGCCUAGUAGUGAGUGGGUAAGGGAACGGCUGACCAAGACUACGAUAGGUAGGGGGCCUGAGAGGGGGAGC